GUUGGGGAAACUUGAGUAGUGUUUGUCGAGCGGUCCGACGGGAGCUUGCUCCCUUAGAUCAGCGGCGGACGGGUGAGUAACACGUGGGUAACCUGCCUGUAAGACUGGGAUAACUCCGGGAAACCGGGGCUAAUACCGGAUGCUUGAUUGAACCGCAUGGUUCAAUCAUAAAAGGUGGCUUUUAGCUACCACUUACAGAUGGACCCGCGGCGCAUUAGCUAGUUGGUGAGGUAACGGCUCACCAGGGCGACGAUGCGUAGCCGACCUGAGAGGGUGAUCGGCCACACUGGGACUGAGACACGGCCCAGACUCCUACGGGAGGCAGCAGUAGGGAAUCUUCCGCAAUGGACGAAAGUCUGACGGAGCAACGCGGCGUGAGUGAUGAAGUUUUUCGGAUCGUAAAAACUCUGUUGUUAGGGGAAGAACAAGUACCGUUCGAAUAGGGGGGGCACCUUUGAGGGUACCUAACCAGAAAGCCACGGCCUAACUACGUUGCCAACCGGCCGAGGGUAAUUCCGAGGUUGGGCAAGAGUUUGUCCGGGAAUUAUUGGGCGUAAAGCGGGGCCCCGGGGGUUUUCUUAAGUCUGAUGGGAAAGCCCCCCGGUUCAACCCGGGGGAGGGGCAUUUGAAAGCUGGGGAACUUGAGUGCAGAAAGAGAAAGUGAAUUUCCAGGGGAGCGGUGAAAUGCGUAGGGAUGUGAAGAACACCAUGGCGGAAGGGGACUCUCUGGUUUGUACUGAGCUGAGGGCCAAAAGCUGGGUGCAUCCGGAUGGAUACCCUGGAAUCCACGCCGUAAUGAUGAUUGCUAGGGGUAUCGGUUUCCGCCCUUUGAUGCUGCUCCAAGGUUUAAGCACUCCGCCCGGGGUAGACCGGGCGCAGGACUGAAAACUAAAAAGGAUAUGGCGCGGGGGCCGCACUAUGCGCUGGAAGAUUCUGUUUUAUUCCUAAGCAACGCCGAUAUACCUUUACUGCUGUGGACAUCCUUGGACAACCUAUGAGUAUGGCUUCCCCUUCGGAGCCGAGUGAACAGAGGGGCAUGUGUCGUCCACUCGGACCGUAGAGGAUCCGAUACGUCCCAGGCACUAGGCGAACCCUUGACUUAAGAGUCGUC
rnacentral:rRNA from 1 species